CCAGACUCCUACGGGAGGCAGCAGUGGGGGAUAUUGCACAAUGGGGGAAACCCUGAUGCAGCGACGCCGCGUGUGGGAAGACGGUCCUCUGGAUUGUAAACCACUGUCCCCAGGGACGAAGAUGACGGUACCUGGGGAGGAAGCUCCGGCUAACUACGUACCAGCAGCCGCGGUAAUACGUAGGGAGCGAGCGUUGUCCGGAAUUACUGGGUGUAAAGGGAGCGUAGGCGGGACUGCAAGUUGGGUGUCAAAUCUACCGGCUCAACCGGUAGCCGCACUCAAAACUGCAGUUCUUGAGUGAAGUAGAGGCAGGCGGAAUUCCUAGUGUAGCGGUGAAAUGCGUAGAUAUUCGGAGGAGCACCGAUGGCGAAGGCGGCCAACUGGGCUUUAACUGACGCUGAGGCUCGAAAGUGUGGGGAGCAAACAGGAUUAGAUACCCCAGUA
rnacentral:rRNA from 1 species